rnacentral:rRNA from 1 species
GGCGACGACGGGUAGCCGACCUGAGAGGGUGACCGGCCACACUGGGACUGAGACACGGCCCAGACUCCUACGGGAGGCAGCAGUGGGGAAUAUUGCACAAUGGGCGAAAGCCUGAUGCAGCGACGCCGCGUGAGGGAUGACGGCCUUCGGGUUGUAAACCUCUUUCAGCAGGGACGAAGCGCAAGUGACGGUACCUGCAGAAGAAGCACCGGCUAACUACGUGCCAGCAGCCGCGGUAAUACGUAGGGUGCAAGCGUUGUCCGGAAUUACUGGGCGUAAAGAGUUCGUAGGCGGUUUGUCGCGUCGUUUGUGAAAACCAGCAGCUCAACUGCUGGCUUGCAGGCGAUACGGGCAGACUUGAGUACUGCAGGGGAGACUGGAAUUCCUGGUGUAGCGGUGAAAUGCGCAGAUAUCAGGAGGAACACCGGUGGCGAAGGCGGGUCUCUGGGCAGUAACUGACGCUGAGGAACGAAAGCGUGGGUAGCGAACAGGAUUAGAUACCCUGGUAGUCCACGCCGUAAACGGUGGGCGCUAGGUGUGGGUUCCUUCCACGGAAUCCGUGCCGUAGCUAACGCAUUAAGCGCCCCGCCNGGGGGAGUACGGG